ACACAGAAACACUACAGUAGGCCCUUCUCAAGCUUAACCAGUACUUUGUGUAGUCAUAUAGUAUAUUUUUAUUUUCUCAAAUGGACUACCUGAUAUAUGCAAUACAGAGAUAUAAUCUCUUGGGUUAUAGUCUCAAGUUUUUUUAGUUGCACCACAUGAAUGGCUAGUUUACUGUGCACCCCCAUGUUCAUCCUGUGAGCGGUAGAGCAAAAAGAAAGAUUACAAAGGUCACAGUGGAUCUUUGCCAGACCCCACUAAGCAUUGUUACAUCACUAGAAAAUAAUAUUAGUAAUUUUGUAUUUUACAAUUACCGUACUUCAUGUAGUUGUACACAGCACAGUAAGGAAUACAGUCUCAAAAAAAAAUGAUAACUAAUUAACACUAAAAAAUUUUUUUUACAAUUUCUUCAUUUAGUUGUUGUAUACAGCUUGCCCUCCACUUUCGCGAGUUCCACUUUCGCGAGCUUUGAACAUUCAAGAAUGCCCAGCCACCCAAUCAUAUUUACCAAACAAAUGCGGGAAAAAAGUACAGGAAAAUGGUUCCUGCUGUGUCCCUACUACCCUCCUCCUUACCCCCUCAACCUGCAGCCUGCCAGUCCACCACUCACUCAGUCAUUGUCCAGUUACUGUUCGUGUUGGUCAUAUCCAGUUACUGUUCGUGUUCUACUGUACAUGUAUGUUUGUGUGGUGGUGCAAGUAUGGCCCCCAAGUGAGCAGCAACCGCUAUUGAUGAGUCAACCCCUAAGCGCUCAAAGAGAGUCACGAAUCUGGAGAAGGUGAAAUUGGUAGACAAGUGUAGGGCAGGUUAUUUGAGCAAUUCUGCCAUUGGAAAAUUAUUUAAUGUAAACGAAAGCACAGUGUGCUCUAUCAAGAAAAAUGAGGCGAAGAUAAGGGCGGCACUAGCAUCUACUGCUCCUCCCUCAGCUAAGCAAGUGUUAUAAGUAAGAAACAGUGCGAUGUCUAAGAUGGAAUCAGCAUUAUUUGUGUGGAUUUCAGACCAAAAUAGAAAAGGAAAUCCCGUAGACAGCAGUGCAAUUCGUUCAAAGGGAAAGGCUUUGUAUGAUACGUUGGCUAGUGAUGAGGCUAGCACCAGUGCAGAACCAGGAUGUCCUACCAUCACCCAUCCUAACUUCCUAGCAAGUAAAGGAUGGUUUGAUAAAUUUAAGAGAUGGUUCUCCCUGCACAACCUGAAGAUGAGUGGAAAAUCAGGUUCGGCAGAUCGUGUUUCGGCAGCUGCAUUCCCCAGCGCUUUGAAAAAAUCAUCGAUGAGAAGGGAUACAGGCCUGAGCAGGUGUGGAAUAUGGAUGAAACAGCCCUGUAUUGGAAGAAGGUGCCUGCCAGGAUUUUCAUAGCCAGGGAGGAGAAGAGUAUGCCAGAGUUCAAGGCUGCAAAAGAUAUGCUGGAGGGUGAGGUGAGAGAAUGGUUGAAAAACAUGCACUGGGUCUAAAUGAUGAAGAAUUGUUGGAGAAUGUGCAGGCAGAGAAUGAGGACGAAGAAGACCAGAGUGUUGCUGAGGCCAAUCGACCUCAAGCCCUCAACCUUGAAAAACUUGGGCAAGUGAUGAGAAUGACAGCACAGCUCAAACAAUUUUUUUGCGACACAAACCCAUCGAUGUUGAGGGUUUUGAAGGUAAUGAGUGACAUUGAUAGGAGCAUAAUUCCCUACAAAAUUCUGUAGAUAUGAAGAGGAAAUGGUGUCAGUUGUCCAUCACAGUGUUCUUCACAAGGAAGCCUGCUGUUACCCCUACUGCCUCACCUGAACCUCAGCUCCUGGCAGAAUCUGACUCCAUUGCUAACUCUGACUCUAGCGAUGUCGGCAGUGACGCUGGCAAUAAAGAGUUAGAAUCCACACACUAGAUUCAUCAUACCAUGCAAUUACACUUCAUACAAUCACCUGCAUUCAUCUGUCAUCAGUAACUGUAUGGCUAACUAUCAUCACCAUCAUCAUCAUCAUCAUUGCCAUCAUCAUCAUCACAAGUCGUCUGAGUUCGUCUGUCUAACCUUAUGAGUGUGCAAAAUGUAGGCUGAGGCACUGAUUGCCUCAAAACAACUACUUCAAGGCUAAGGGACUGAUCACCUCAUCUUUACCUCUCUGCUGCUUCUAUCUUCAAUAUUUAGUCACAUCUGUGCUCAACUAAAGAAGCCUACUGUAUAGCAUUAUGGCUAAGAACCCAUUGUGGUUAUUCGUCUUGGUGAGACUGUUAAGUGUGUUCAGUCAUACAGACAUGGUUUGUAGCAGAUGAGUUUGGCAGGCUACAGAAAUUGCACAUCACUUAGUUUUUGGAUAUGGAUAUCAGACAUGGGAAUGGCAAGAAGGAAUUAGAAGUGUUCUCUAUCCAGCUGUUUUGGCUAGUAUAUAUAAAUUAUUAGCCCUAGUGGGGUUGGAAUAUCCAUUUCUGUUGGUAUGUUAUUGUUUAAUU